rnacentral:rRNA from 1 species
UAACGCGAAGAACCUUACCUACUCUUGACAUCCAGAGAACUUAGCAGAGAUGCUUUGGUGCCUUCGGGAACUCUGAGACAGGUGCUGCAUGGCUGUCGUCAGCUCGUGUUGUGAAAUGUUGGGUUAAGUCCCGCAACGAGCGCAACCCUUAUCCUUUGUUGCCAGCGGUCCGGCCGGGAACUCAAAGGAGACUGCCAGUGAUAAACUGGAGGAAGGUGGGGAUGACGUCAAGUCAUCAUGGCCCUUACGAGUAGGGCUACACACGUGCUACAAUGGCGCAUACAAAGAGAAGCGACCUCGCGAGAGCAAGCGGACCUCAUAAAGUGCGUCGUAGUCCGGAUUGGAGUCUGCAACUCGACUCCAUGAAGUCGGAAUCGCUAGUAAUCGUAGAUCAGAAUGCUACGGUGAAUACGUUCCCGGGUCUUGUACACACCA